rnacentral:rRNA from 1 species
ACGAACGCUGGCGGCGUGCUUAACACAUGCCAGUCGAACGAGGUCCAUGCAGUCGCAAGACUGCGGAAGAUCUAGUGGCGAACGGGUGCGUAACACGUGAGAAACCUGUCCCGGUCUCUGGAAUAACAAGUGGAAACACUUGCUAAUACCGGAUGCCGUCGAACCAUCGCAUGAUGGACUGACGAAAGGGCUACCGGAUCGGGAGGGUCUCGCGGCCUAUCAGCUUGUUGGUGAGGUAACGGCUCACCAAGGCAUCGACGGGUAGCUGGUCUGAGAGGAUGAUCAGCAACACUGGGACUGAGACACGGCCCAGACUCCUACGGGAGGCAGCAGUGGGGAAUCUUGCACAAUGGGCGAAAGACUGAUGCAGCAACGCCGCGUGCGGGAAGAAGGCCCUAGGGUUGUAAACCGCUUUCAGCAGGGAAGAAACUGACGGUACCUGUAGAAGAAGGUGCGGCCAACUACGUG